GGUUAAGAUAAUUAAAUUAUUAUUAGAAGUUCUUAGUUUCUUAUAGAGGUGGAAUUUGAAUAAGAAAAUUUAGAUUAAUAACUUCUUUGAUUUGAGGCCUUGAAAACUUAGUUUAAAACCGGGAUUAGAUACCCCGUUAUUUAUUUUGUAAAAUUUGAUGUUUUAAUUUACUUGAGUAUUACGAGUAGCUAGCUGAUAGUAGAUUGGUUGGCGUAGGACUUAAAACUCAAAAAACUUGGCGGUGCCUUAAUUCUUUUCAGGGGAAUUUGUCCCUUAAUCGAUAGUCCUCGAUUUAGCUUACUUCUUCUUGUAUUUUAUUAAUUUUGAAACAGUUUGUAUACCGUCGUCGUCAGAUUACCUUUAAGAGAAAAAGAAGUUGUCAGAAAAAAUUAGUAUAAGUAGCGGCAGUUAUAGUAGAUCUUAUCUGUUGAGAGGUAUACAUAUUUUUAAUGUCAGAUCAAGGUGCAGCUUAUGAAGAAGUGGAGAUGAGUUACAAUGAAUAUUUAUUAUACGGAUUUUAGAUUGUAAAAUUUAAUUAAAGGCGGACUUGAGAGUAAUAUUGGGAAAUAAAUAAAUAUUUUUUAACUAGUGUGUAAAUGUGAAUAUGGUGCUAAGGUGCGU
rnacentral:rRNA from 1 species